GGAUGUGAGGCGAUCUGGCUGCGACAUCUGUCACCCCAUUGAUCAUUAGGGUUGAUCUGGCUGAUCUGGCUGGCUAGGCGGGUGUCCCCUUCCUCCCUCACUGCUCCAUGUGUGUCCCUCCCGAAGCUGCACUUGGUGGAAGAGGACGACCUUCCCCGCUAGAGGAGGACCGUUCUUCAGUCAAGGGAAUACAGGAGUAGUUGCGCUCCCCUACUAGAACCUACAAACAAGCUCUCAAGUCUACAUACUCUCUGUUGAGAUUCAGGGCCCAACUGGCAUAUGGAAAGCUCAAAGAUAUAAGUCUCUUGGUCAUAUACCUAU
rnacentral:snRNA from 1 species